AACCCCUGACACUGGGCAAAGAGACACCUUGGUGGUGGUGUUCUUAUAUCAGUCGGGGACAGAGCAGAUGGCAGUCCUUUGGUCAUCCUAACUUGAUGCCUAGCUUGGAGGCCAAAGCUGUUUCAUGCCUGGGGCACAUAA
ensembl:snoRNA LOC120100399 small nucleolar RNA SNORA48